GGAUCUGAACCGGAGCUCUAGAUACAAUUGUUGGUGCACAAGCUGAUAAAGAUGAACAAUGAACAAGAGAGAAGAGAGAUAAUAAUAACAAACUUCCACUACUCUUGAAAUGGUUACAAAAUGGUUGCACAGAUAAAAUGCACACAUACACACACUGCAAAAGGAAUAAGAGGUACAAUUUGUUCACACCACCCACUUGCUUAAAUAUAAGUGGGACUUUAGGGAAAUACUAUAUUACCCUAUAAAAAACUUUGUCUA
rnacentral:lncRNA from 1 species